rnacentral:rRNA from 1 species
GUAGGGAAUAUUGGGCAAUGGAUGCAAGUCUGACCCAGCCAUCCCGCGUGCCGGAAGAAGGCCCUCAGGGUUGUAAACGGCUUUUGACGGUGAAGAAUCGACAGGAUGCGUCCUGUUUUGACGGUAGCCGUUGAAUAAGCACCGGCUAACUCCGUGCCAGCAGCCGCGGUAAUACGGAGGGUGCGAGCGUUGUCCGGAUUUAUUGGGUUUAAAGGGUGCGUAGGCUGGAAGGUCAGUCAGCGGUGAAAAGCUGUCGCUUAACGAUAGUCUUGCCGCAGAUACUUCCGUUCUUGGAUGAGGAGGAGGCCACUGGAACGGAUGGUGUAGCGGUGAAAUGCAUAGAUAUCAUCCAGAACACCGAUUGCGAAGGCAGGUGGCUGUACCUUAAUCGACGCUGAUGCACGAAAGCAUGGGGAGCAAACAGGAUUAGAAACCCGUGUAGUCC